GGGGAAAUCUCAGUUAGCAAUCAGAAAUUCCCUGCUAAUUGAAUGUCUGAUUUUAUUAAUGAUGAAAUUUAUAAAGGUCCUUAAGAAAAGAAAAGAAUUUAGCCAGUUCAGCAGUUAAGUGUGAAUAUUAACUAACUCUGAGAUAAAAGUUAAAAUAUCCAUUUUCUUUUCUUUUCUCUAGUUCUUUAAAUAAAAAGCUCUCUUUGACAUUUCAUCCCAUUAGAGCUUUAGCUUCCUUUGCCAUCCAUUGCUAAAUGGCUGGAGACUGUGCAGAGAAUGUAAUGUCCUGGAUGGUUUAAGAAAUGCUGACCUUAGAGGGCAGGAAGUUAAUACAUGGAUCAUCAUAGUGCUUAUUUUCCUUGAUGCUUGCUCUCUGAUGAUGCUUUGGCUGGGCUUUUUUGGUGGCCUACGUCUCCAUUGGUGCACCUUGACUGCCCCGCUGAGAAGCUUUGGUGAGGACUUAGACCACCACUACAGAGCACCAUGGCAGAUCUUUUUUUUUCCUUUAAAUGAAAAGUAUGAAGUUUCCACAGGAAGCAGGAACAUUCUCCAAAAUUGUAAUUAUGUCAAAGACACAGCACUUUCUCUUCUGGAUGAAGAAGCUGAGUCUGUCCAAGUGAGAAGCCUAAGAACAGCUCAGGGGGCUGGAGAGAGAGAGCCAACUGCACGCAGUCUGCAAACAAGCUGA
rnacentral:lncRNA from 1 species